ACGGAGGAUGCGAGCGUUAUCCGGAUUCAUUGGGUUUAAAGGGUGCGUAGGCGGACUAUUAAGUCAGUGGUGAAAUCCUGCAGCUUAACUGCAGAACUGCCAUUGAUACUGAUAGCCUUGAGUUUGGUUAAGGUAGGCGGAAUGUGUAAUGUAGCGGUGAAAUGCGUAGAUAUUACGCGGAACACCAGUUGCGAAGGCAGCUUACUGGGCUGACACUGACGCUGAGGCACGAAAGCGUGGGGAGCAAACAG
rnacentral:rRNA from 1 species